rnacentral:rRNA from 1 species
AUUGAACGCUGGCGGCAGGCCUAACACAUGCAAGUCGAACGAGUGGCGGACGGGUGAGUAAUGUCUGGGGAACUGCCCGAUGGGGGGGGAUAACUCCUGGAAACGGUAGAUAAUACCGCAUACACUCUGAUGUGCCCCGAUGGGAUUAGCACGUGGGUGGGGUAACGGCUCACCUAGGCGAAGAUCCCCAGCUGGUCUGAGAGGAUGACCAGUCACACUGGAACUGAGACACGGUCCAGACUCCUACGGGAGGCAGCAGUGGGGAAUAUUGCACAAUGGGCGCAAGCCUGAUGCAGCCAUGCCGCGUGUAUGAAGAAGGUCUUCGGAUUGUAAAGCACUUUAAGUUGGGAGGCGUUACCAACAGAAUAAGCACCGGCUAACUUCGUGCCAGCAGCCGCGGUAAUAC